GUUAAAGUGCAACAAAAAAUAUAUUUGACUAGCUGGUUCUCAAUAUGAAUCGUGCUUUUAGCAGGAAGAAAGACAAAACAUGGAUGCAUACUCCAGAGGCUUUAUCAAAACACUAUAUCCCUUAUAAUGCAAAGGAAAUCCAGAACUACUUCGUGAAAUCUGCAGUAUCAGAUUAGUUUGUCAAAACAUUACCUUGAAUGCUUUAAUGUUCCUACUGACACUAAUGUGAUGUUUGCAUGCUUAAAUAGCUAAGUCGUUAUCAAUUUGUAUUAUAAUAUUUGUUGUACACCGUUCAUCAUUAUCAUCAUCUGAAAUUAUCAAACAAGGCAUCAGUACUGACAAUGGAAAUUUCAGGCAUAAUCUGCUACUUGUCUGGUGUUUUUCUUAAAGUUUCAAACGGAAUUUGAAACCAAAGGAUAUAUUACCCUCUCAAUCUUGAUGGAAGUAAUGGAUUUUAUAUUGUAAUGUUUAUAGCAGAGGGCAGCAAAGAAUAGGUGAGAUGUAGUAAUAUCCAUAAAAACAACAACCUAGCAUCAGGCAUUGAUAGCAAGAAUCAUGUCCAGUGGAAGGCUGUCUUCAGGUUUAUUGUAAAUGUCAACCAUUCCAAGGAAAGAAAUGAUUGUUUUUAAACAUAUUCUUUUAAUAUUAUUUUAUUUUAUAGCAAACCACGUGGCUGAGUUCCUCUGUAAUAUCUCUGCAUUUAACAUGGGUUCCUACCUUUAACAUGGAUUCCUAAUAAUGUAAUGUGGGAUCUCCCUAUUAGUUAGGCAUUGGCAGACUAUGCUGAGUACUCAUCAAGAUCUCUCAGUAUGCUACAUUUGUGCUGAGAGAACUUUACUGAGUUCAGCUGAAGUGGCAACUUGAUAUAAAAGUAUUUGGCUGACAUACAAUAGUUUUCCAGAAGUACCGCCGUGUUCAUUAAAUAGACACUUCCAGGGCUAAUAAAAAUGGCCCUGCAAAGACCUGAUGUUUCUCA
rnacentral:lncRNA from 1 species